rnacentral:rRNA from 1 species
AGUUUGAUCCUGGCUCAGAACGAACGCUGGCGGCAGGCCUAACACAUGCAAGUCGAACGCCGUAGCAAUACGGAGUGGCAGACGGGUGAGUAACGCGUGGGAACGUACCCUUUGGUUCGGAAUAACUCAGGGAAACUUGGGCUAAUACCGGAUACGUCCGAGAGGAGAAAGAUUUAUCGCCGAAGGAUCGGCCCGCGUCUGAUUAGCUAGUUGGUGUGGUAAUGGCGCACCAAGGCGACGAUCAGUAGCUGGUCUGAGAGGAUGAUCAGCCACAUUGGGACUGAGACACGGCCCAAACUCCUACGGGAGGCAGCAGUGGGGAAUAUUGGACAAUGGGCGCAAGCCUGAUCCAGCCAUGCCGCGUGAGUGAUGACGGCCUUAGGGUUGUAAAGCUCUUUUACCUGGGAAGAUAAUGACGGUACCAGGAGAAUAAGCCCCGGCUAACUUCGUGCCAGCAGCCGCGGUAAUACGAAGGGGGCUAGCGUUGUUCGGAUUUACUGGGCGUAAAGCGCACGUAGGCGGAUUUUUAAGUCAGGGGUGAAAUCCCAAGGCUCAACCUUGGAACUGCCUUUGAUACUGGAGAUCUUGAGUCCGGGAGAGGUGAGUGGAACUGCGAGUGUAGAGGUGAAAUUCGUAGAUAUUCGCAAGAACACCAGUGGCGAAGGCGGCUCACUGGCCCGGAACUGACGCUGAGGUGCGAAAGCGUGGGGAGCAACAGGAUUAGAUACCUGGUAGUCCACGCCGUAAACGAUGGAUGCUAGCCGUUUAGGCAGCUUGCUGCUUAGUGGCGCAGUUAACGCUUUAGCAUCCCGCCUGGGGAGUACGGUCGCAAGAUUAAACUCAAAGGAAUUGACGGGGGCCCGCACAAGCGGUGGAGCAUGUGGUUAAUUCGAAGCAACGCGCAGAACCUUACCAACCUUUGACAUGUCUCGUUUGGUUACCAGAGAUGGUUUCCUUCAGUUCGGCUGGCGAGAACACAGGUGCUGCAUGGCUGUCGUCAGCUCGUGUCGUGAGAUGUUGGGUUAAGUCCCGCAACGAGCGCAACCCACGCCCUUAGUUGCCAUCAUUUAGUUGGGCACUCUAGGGGGACUGCCGGUGAUAAGCCGAGAGGAAGGUGUGGAUGACGUCAAGUCCUCAUGGCCCUUACGGGUUGGGCUACACACGUGCUACAAUGGCGGUGACAAUGGGAUGCGAAGGGGCGACCCUUAGCAAAUCUCCAAAAUCCGUCUCAGUUCGGAUUGCACUCUGCAACUCGAGUGCAUGAAGGUGGAAUCGCUAGUAAUCGUAGAUCAGAACGCUACGGUGAAUACGUUCCCGGGCCUUGUACACACCGCCCGUCACACCAUGGGAGUUGGUUCUACCCGAAGGCGUUUUGCUAACCGCAAGGGGGCAGGCGACCACGGUAGGGUCAGCGACUGGGG